rnacentral:rRNA from 1 species
UCUACUGGGAGCGGUAGCUAAUUCCGCAUACGCCCUACAGGGGAAAGCAGGGGACCUUCGGGCCUUGCGCGAUUGGAUGAACCCAGGUGGGAUUAGCUAGUUGGUGAGGUAAUGGCUCACCCAGGCGACGAUCCCUAGCUGGUCUGAGAGGAUGAUCCGCCCCACUGGAACUGAGACAGGGUCCAGACUAAUACGGGAGGCAGCAGUGGGGAAUAUUGCACAAUGGGGGAAACCCUGAUGCCGCCAUGCCGCGUGUGUGAAGAAGGCCUUCGGGUUGUAAAGCACUUUCCGCGAGGAGGAAAGGUUGGUAGCUAAUAACUGCCAGCUGUGACGUUACUCGCAGAAGAAGCACCGGCUAACUCCGUGCCAGCAGCCGCGGUAAUACGGAGGGUGCAAGCGUUAAUCGGAAUUACUGGGCGUAAAGCGCACGCAGGCGGUUGGAUAAAUUACAUGUGAAAGCCCCGGGCUCACCCUGGGAAUUGUAUUUAAAACUGUCCUGCUAGAGUCUUGUAGAGGGGGGUAGAACUCCAGGUGUAGCG